GGUCUGUGAGGGUGAUCUGGCUGGGAGGUAUGUUAUUGCAUUGAUUGCCAGGGUUGAUUUGGCUGAUCUGACUGGCAAGGGGGGUGUCCCCUUCCUCCCUCACCGCUCCAUGUGCAUCCUUCCCAAAGCUGUGUGCUCAGUCGAAGAGGACAUUUCCCUGUAGAGGUGUACUGUUCAUCGGUCCAAGGGAUUCAGUAGCUGCGCUCCCCUGCGAGAACACCCAAACAAGUAAUUCUUGCUGUAAAGAAAAGGGCUAUGAGACCCAGUUCCCAGACAGACAUUUCU
rnacentral:snRNA from 1 species